AGCGUGUGGUGUGUGGUUUUAGUUGGCCCCGGGUUCCCUCCAGCCUCCGAAUGUCUUCUCCAGGUAGAGAGCCACCUCGAGGGUCAGAUGGUCCUGCAGCUUCCCAGCAACGACCUGCAGGCCCAGAGGCAGACCUUCCUCACCCAGACCCAGAGGACACUGUGUGACCGGCAGCCCGAGGAUGUUGAUUAUACCUGGAGGCAGGGAAGAAUGGAGUAAGACUGAACACUUGAGGCAGGCAAGCUGAUAUAUGACGAGGACUGACCUGUGUAGCAGAAUUCAAAGGGUCUGAAGAGCGUGUGAUGGUGUUUGAGAGCCACUAUGGGGUGCGAGGGGUAAAGAAAAA